AUACUUACCUGGCACAGGAGAUACCGUGUUUCAUGAAGGCGGUUCUCCCAAGGCGAGGCUCACCAUUUUCACUCCGGUGGCGCUGACCCUUGCCCAUUAACCCCCAAAAGUGGUUAACCCCGAGUGCGCAAUUUUUGUUAGUGGGGGGCUGCGUUCGCGCUAUCCCCCU